rnacentral:rRNA from 1 species
GAACGCUGGCGGCGUGCCUAACACAUGCAAGUCGAGCGGGGUUGAGGCGAGAGGUAACUCGAACUUCUACCUAGCGGCGGACGGGUGAGUAACGCGUGGGGCAACCUGCCUCAAGGUUUUGGGAUAACAGCCCGAAAGGGCUGCUAAUACCGGAUAUGCCUAUGGCCUCGCAUGGGGCUAUGAGCAAAGGGGAAACCCGCCUUGAGAUGGGCCCGCGUCCCAUCAGCUAGUUGGUGAGGUAACAGCUCACCAAGGCGACGACGGGUAGCCGGCCUGAGAGGGUGACCGGCCACACUGGGACUGAGACACGGCCCAGACUCCGUACGGGGGGCAGCAGUGGGGGAUCUUGCACAAUGGGCGAAAGCCUGAUGCAGCGACGCCGCGUGAGCGAAGAAGGCCUUCGGGUUGUAAAGCUCUGUCUGGAGGGACGAACAAAAUGACGGUACCUCCGGAGGAAGCCACGGCUAACUACGUG